GACUCGGUGGCGGAUGGUCCGCGUCUGUGCUCGUUGGAAUUUGCUUUAGGGAUAAUUUGAGCAGAAGGUGCCUGUUCGAAUCAGGCCCGAGUCA